rnacentral:misc_RNA from 1 species
GAAGAAGAAGAAGAGGAGAUUGCUGGUUGAAGUGGGUUUAAAAUCUUUUUCAGUUUGUCUGAAGUUUUUAUUGUGUUGGCUCUGGAAAUGAGUGAUUCUAUUUCUGUUGUUGAAGUGUAAAACCAGAUUGACAUGUUGAUAUGUAUUAUUGUGGGUCCUUGUAUCAGAAAUGGGUACUGUUGUUUUAAAUUUAAAAUUAUGGAUGGAUGUUU